CAAAAAAAAACAGGGUCUGGACCAAUCACGGCUCUAUACACUGUUCUUUGCAGCUCAAAGGCUGCAGGCAACUCUUCCUGGUUGCCCCAUCUGUCUCCCCGCUCUAUCAACAGUAGCUGUUGCAAUCACGUCAGGGUCCACCAAUUGCCACACUUUCAGAGACAGACCAGUGCCAGGACACACUGAGUUCAUGCAGCAACAGCUCCCUUGAUUGAGAUCUUGCUUCCUUAUAUACCUAUGAAGCCCACGGGGUUAGUCCUCAUUGGCUGAGCCAGUUACUUCCUGGUCAGCCAGCCAAUAGGAGCCCGAAUCCCCAAUGGCCUGGGCCUGCUCUUACUGGAAGAAUUAUGUGGCAGAUGGAAGAGGGCCACUUGAUGUGGAGAAGGCAAUGUGUGCUUCUUCUAUGCAGAAACUGUUACAUUAAAUCACAGAAUGUUAUCUGCUACUGUUCUAAA